rnacentral:piRNA from 1 species
UGGAUUCUUAAAUUCUUUCUGGCUGUGCU